AUCCGCUUAAUACAUAAUAUAUUAUUCAAUGUGUAUUUAUAUAUAUACUUUUUUUUCUUUUAUAUAAACUCAGUGUUCCAACCAAGGUGAGUGUGACACAACCAAGGUAUAUGAAACAUGCUGCCCGGUGUGUGUAUGUCCGUGUGUGAGUGUGUGUAUACAGGGUGUCCCAUUUUAAAUGAUCCACUUAAAUAUCUCAGAAACGCCGCGUUAAACAAAAAAUUAUUUCAAAUAAAAGUUAUAGGUUUGAUAGGGAUAUUAGUUGACUUUGGGCGGAGGCGCCUCGGAGAUUUGAAAGUCAUCUUUAUCUUUUUUGUGGUUCCAUUAAAAAAAAAAUGAAGAUAACCUUCAAAUCUCCGAAGCGCCUCCUGCCAAAGUCAACUAAUAUCCCUAUCAAUCCUACAACUUUUAUUUGAAACAUUUUUUUUAUUUAACGCGGUAUUUCUGAGAUAUUUGAGCGGAUUAUUUAAAAUGGGACACCUUGUACGUGUGCGUGCGUGGCGUCAGCAGAAUCGGGGUAGCGCGUUUCGGACCGUCACAUAACGUCGCGUCCGAACGCAAAACUCUCCGGAUUCGGUCGACAUCACGUAGAUAGGAUCGUCUCUAUUCGCGCGGCGUACUCUCCGGGUUCGCGCGCGGCCGUCGCCAUCAUCGCUAUUCCUCGCAAUCACACCCGGCGACUUGUUCCCGACUUGGGGGGGGGGGGGAGGGUCGUCUCACGACGCUACGCGUUAUCGUGAACGACGAUCUCCAACCCCUCGCAUUCCUAGCCUCGAAAAAGGUGGCAAGGUCCGGCUUGUGUCGCUCCUCCUCGUCUGGAAGUCCACACACACACACACACACACACACACACACACACACUGUCGUAACAAUUUUUCUGGAGUAAUUAUGCGUUGUAAUGGAAAAAGAAUGUCGAUUUCAAAGUCGAAACGAGGCGAGGAGAAGAUUCGGAUGUCCGUCGAAAUCGCAGAAUACCAGUAACUUUUGUCCCUCGUUCGUUCGCCAAGGAAGAAUGCCGGUGCUGAGCUCAGCCUCGUCUUCUUCUCUUCACGCUUGCUUUAUAAUGUCCCUUUGCUAUUUUAUUCCACCAAUUUGCAGCCAACUUUUUUCUAAUUUUUCUAUCGUUAGUUCAUCGUCGACGUCCUUCUCAUUCGCCGUCAGGAAAGAAGGGAGGCGCGAACCGCGCCUUCGGGAUGAUCGAACCGUCGGAGAGUACGAGCAGCGGGCAGCGCGCUAGCCAGCAUAUAAGCGAGCGCAGGCAGUGAGCAGUUCAUAUUUACGUACACCGUAUAAUGUGGAUACGGGGCGAGCGAGGGGCAUGAAGUCCCCCUUCCGACAGGAGGGGGUGGGGUGGGGGGAGGGGACCCAUGGCCCUGGCUGCGCGCGGUGGCUGUGUCGCCGCGUGGGAAGGUGAGGGCCCCGACGAAAGGAGAAUGCGACGAACACCUCCUUCUUCUCCGAGGACUCGUUCUCGCAGAACGCGAUUCCCGCUUCUCGAGAAAGCCGUCCUCGCAAGUCGGAACUCCUCGUCCUCGAGGAGUUCCGUCCUCGCGGAAUCGGAGUCUCUCUCUCUCUCGUUUUUUUUUCCCCCCCCGAGGAAUACAAUUCGUGCGAGUCGGAACUCCUCGUUCUCGCGACUCCAGAGAGCGCUUCGCUCCGGAGGGAUUCGCACGCGGCUCGUUGCCCUCGCGCGACCCGUGCGCACAGCCGGCAGAGAGAGGAGACGGCAGAGAGAGAUAUCUGCGGGCUCCUCCCGCGCCCCUUAAUUACCUAAGUCACAUCGAACAGACGCAGUUCCUCGCAGUAUCUUCCGCUUCCGCAAAACGCCAAGUUUCUCUUUCUCUCAUCGCACUCUCUCUCUCUUUCUCUUUCUCUCUCUCUCUCUCUCUCUCUCUCUCUCAUUCCCUCGCACUCUCGAUUUUCUCUCUUUCUCUCCCUGUCCGUUGCCGCUGCUGAUUACUCUCUCAAUCUUUCUCUCUCUUUCUCUCUCUCUCCCUCUCUCGCGCUCUAAUCUAUAUGUUUCAUUCUUUAUAUAUUAUAUAUAACAAUAUUUAUACCAUGAAUUUUUAAUAGAUUCGAGUCACAUGCAGAAAGAACUUUGAGUUGUUUCUGGCACGGAUAAAAAGGAAGAAACAAAAACACUUUGGCUUUCGCGUAAAUCUAAACGAAGGACGUUCUCAUAAUUUAGCAUUUGUAUUAAAAAAAAAAAAAAGGAAAAGAAAAA